rnacentral:misc_RNA from 1 species
GAUGAAGAACGCAGCAAAAUGCGAUAAGUAAUGUGCAUUGCAGAAUUCAGUGAAUCAUCGAAUCUUUGAACGCACAUUGCGCCCGCCAGUAUUCUGGCGGGCAUGCCUGUUCGAGCGUCAUUUCAACCCUCAAGCCCUCGGGUUUGGUGUUGGGGAUCGGCGAGCCUUUCUGGCAAGCCGGCCCCGAAAUCUAGUGGCGGUCUCGCUGCAGCCUCCAUUGCGUAGUAGUAAAACCCUCGCAACUGGAACGCGGCGCGGCCAAGCCGUUAAACCCCCAACUUCUGAAUGUUGACCUCGGAUCAGGUAGGAAUACCCGCUGAACUUAAGCAUAUCAAUAAGCGGAGGA